UCCUCCCUGCUCCCCCCGCCCCCGCCCUUUUCGUUUCCUUCCUUCCCUCCCUCCCUCGCAGGUGGCAAGGAUGCUGUUUGCCGUCGGACCAUCUGGGCUUUUGUGUUUUGAACGCGAUCGGCUUCGCCCUAUAAUAAGAAAGCGAUACGAAGAGCGAGUCAAGCGUGGGCAAGCUUUCCCUAGGCCUGAGCUGAACCGUUGCUUCUGAUCUAGAAUCACAGACUGGUGGAGGGACCUUAUUGACCCAUUGGCCAAUUUAGGGUUUUUCUGAGCAUGGGAAGGAGGAAGAUUAAAAAAACACCACUACCCAUCCUUUUUGCGAAGCAAGCCUUGACCCACCUAAACAUGCAGUUUGGGAUAGAACGGUUCUAGUAUAAAACAAGUGUUUGUGUCCCACAUCUUUCUUCAAAAUAUCAAUUGAAGAGAACAAGCAUCUGAAGUUCUGAUACCCCUUCAAGCUUGUAAUGUGGGAAUCAGGAGUCCACAGGAAAAACUAUGCUUUAGAAAAUGACAGCAAGAAGAACAGAGAACAACAGAACCCUUACCAAUGAAUCCAAAUAUAUCUCGAAUUGUGGGAACAAAGAUCACGAGAAUGUUGGUGAAUACCAAAAGAGCCAUUGUAAUUGCAGUAUGGCGCCACCAACUAAAUUCUUUCCCUGAACACAACAACUGUGUGAUGGAGCUGCGGAUCUGUAAAAUAAAUGAAAGUUUAUUAAAAUCAUU